rnacentral:lncRNA from 1 species
GCCCUAACACACAAAUGACAACAGUCACUGGCUUAACACUCAAAACAGAAAUAUACUGCUCUGGUAAGAAAACUAAAGGGCAUCAAAGGCAAACAUAUUGCUGAAGCAUACCAACAGUGAGCAAUCUUGAAAAGUGUAUUUAAGCAAACAACCAAUGGAGCGUUCCCAGAAAUAACACGAGAAAAAGUUGAUGUUUGCACAGGAAAUAAGUAAAGUAUCUAAUCAUAAGGCCUAAUUUGGUUGACGUGAUCCCUCAGGGAUCCCAGCGUUUUCCCUGGAUGGAAAACCACCGCAUAUGCUUCACCCAGGGUACCCAGCGGCACCAUUUGGACUCCCAACUACCACGGGUUUGUCGGCCCCCACCCCAUCAUUUCAACGGGAGAGAAAUCCACUACUGGCAAGGUCGGGAAAGGAAACCUCGAGCUGGUCGCCUCUCCCUGCGGGCUCUGCCCUUCUCCCCCUAUAUGCCAAAUAGACAUUCCCCGAUGGACUGAUAUUUCCCUUAGGCCUCGUUUGGUUAAGGGGGAUUGGGGAGGUUUUGAGAGGGAGGGAUUUUAGGGGAUUGGGUGAAUCCCUUUGUUCCACCCAAUCCUCUCAAAUCCCCGGGGUUUUGCUUCCACUAGUCCUCCGAAGAGGGUUUUGAAACACAUGAAUAGGAAGGGAUUGAAGGGGAACGGAGGGGAUUGGGCUAAGCAAACCCCUCCUAUCAAAUGGGCGCCCGAGGAUCUGUGGGGUUUCUGGACCCCCCGGGGAUUUUCCUCUCAAAACCUCCCCAAUCCCCCUUAACCAAACGAGGCCCUAGGGGAUCCCUGGUGCUCCUCAAAAUUCCUGUUGUGGGUUUGCUACCCAGGUUUUCCCCUACCUUGCAACCAAAUCAAGCCUAAACUUUCUACACAUUCCAUACACGAUGCUGCCUAUUUGAAAGGUUGCUACAGACGCUAUCAACCCGAUUCAACCACAAGGCAAGACCCAGCGAUUUUGGGCUAUUUCAUCCACUGAAACUAUAUAAUCACUUCUGCUGUUCUGCGGUUCUGCUUGGCACAAUAAAUUACGAGAAAACCUGUAACCGCGGCAUAUAGCAACCCUAUCCAGCAGCCAGACACGUUGAGCUUCGGAACCCGAUCCAGAUCGGGGUCCGAGAUCGCUCAGAGUUUGCGCCCCAGUUCGUCUAUUUCAGAACAUCGGAACGAAAUCCUUGUCCCCAAGCGCUAGGAUCUUCUGCCUGACAAGGGCGACAGUGGAGAUGACCUAGCGGCCCGCCCGUCGCGCAACAGCAAGCCUUACUGCACGCGCGCAUCUGAGAGGCCUAGAGAGGGGAGACGCCGAUCAGACCAGGGUACGGACCCCUCCUCGUCUCCCCGGAACCGAGCUGCUUGCCGUCAGAGGGGAAGGAAGCAGCGGGCGCGGUAACUUCCCGCCGCGGUCAGAGAGAGGGGGGAUAUGGACGAGGAGGAGAGUACGGGGCCGUCCACGAGCAGCCGUCCGGCGCUGCCUUCCGGCCCCGAUUCGAGUGAAGGAAAAGAAAGAGGAGGCCGAGAGGAGAGAGC